AUCAAGGCAGCUCCGCCAUGAACUUAUUCACUUUCUUGAUAAAAACGGCUUAAUUCAGGAUGAAAACCAUGCCAUCCGUCGGUGGAAAUACUCUGCUUUAGGAGAAUCUUUAGCAUCUGUGUAUCCAAACAUGCUUUGGGAAAGAGCUCAAAAAGACAAGCAGGGAAGGACAAAGUCACCAAAGAGCGUGUUCAUUUCACGGCUGGCGGAAGCAAGGCGGCACAGGGGUUAUAGGAGAG